UGCAGUCGAACGAUUAAAGCUCUCUUCGGAGAGUGUAUAGAGUGGCGCACGGGUGAGUAACACGUAAGUAAUCUACCCUCGAGUGGGGUAUAACAUCGGGAAACCGAUGCUAAUACCGCAUAACGCAGCGGCACCGCAAGGUGACAGUUGUUAAAGGAGUAAUUCGCUUGAGGAGGAGCUUGCGGCAGAUUAGCUAGUUGGUAAGGUAACGGCUUACCAAGGCUACGAUCUGUAUCCGGUCUAAGAGGACGGUCGGACACACUGACACUGAAUAACGGGUCAGACUCCUACGGGAGGCAGCAGUCGGGAAUUUUGGGCAAUGGGCGAAAGCCUGACCCAGCAACGCCGCGUGAAGGAUGAAGUAUUUCGGUAUGUAAACUUCGAAAGAAUGGGAAGAAUAAAUGACGGUACCAUUUAUAAGCUCCGGCUAACUACGUGCCAGCAGCCGCGGUAAUACGUAGGGAGCAAGCGUUGUUCGGAUUUACUGGGCGUAAAGGGCGCGUAGGCGGCGCGGUAAGUCACUUGUGAAAUCUCUGAGCUUAACUCAGAACGGCCAAGUGAUACUGCAGUGCUAGAGUGCAGAAAGGGCAAUCGGAAUUCUUGGUGUAGCGGUGAAAUGCGUAGAUAUCAAGAGGAACACCUGAGGCGAAGGCGGGUUGCUAGGCUGACACUGACGCUGAGGCGCGAAAGCCAGGGGAGCAAACGGGAUUAGAUACCCCGGUAGUCCUGGCCCUAAACGAUGAAUACUUGGUGUCUGGAGUUUCAAUACUCCGGGUGCCGUCGCUAACGUUUUAAGUAUUCCGCCUGGGGAGUACGCUCGCAAGAGUGAAACUCAAAGGAAUUGACGGGGA
rnacentral:rRNA from 1 species